CGAGUCGGCCAGACCAUCGCUGUGUCCCUUGCGGGCAUGGAGGAAAGUCCGGGCUCCACAGGGCAGGGCGCCAGGUAACGCCUGGGGGGUGCAAGCCCACGGAAAGUGCCGCAGAAAAUAUACCGCCUAAGCUCGCAAGAGCCGGUAAGGGUGAAAUGGUGCGGUAAGAGCGCACCGCGAACGCUGGUAACAGCGUCGGCAGGGAAAACCCCGCCUGGAGCAAGAUCAAAUAGGGGGGCGAUGAUGCGGCCCGCUGAGUCCCCGGGUAGAUUGCUCGAGCCGUGCGGCGACGCACGGCCCAGAUGAAUGAUGGUCCUCGACAGAACCCGGCUUAUCGGCUGACUCGACUU
rnacentral:RNase_P_RNA from 1 species